ACGUGGGUCUCUGCUCCCUGAUCUGUUUCCUGUGUUUGGAAAGAGUUGCAGCUUCAUCGCGGAGUUUCUCUCGGUUUGUGGGCUCAUCUAAAGCUGAGUAACAGGAGGAGAAGAGUCUGGUGGAGCAGCAGAGGAACAGUUUCAGCCAUUUGGACUCAGCUCAGCCACUACAGAGGAAACAAUGACUUCAACACAGGAGGACCAACAUGGAGCGAGAAGUCAGCGCUCUCAGGAGGCCGACAAACCUCACAGAAGAAAGGGGGAGAAGAAAUACA